rnacentral:rRNA from 1 species
UACGUAUGGACCGAGCGUUGUCCGGAAUCAUUGGGCGUAAAGGGUACGUAGGCGGUUAAGCAAGUUAGAAGUGAAAUGCAUUAGCUCAACUAUAGUAAGCUUUUAAAACUGCUAGACUUGAGGGAUGGAAGGGAAAGUGGAAUUCCUAGUGUAGCGGUGAAAUGCGCAGAUAUUAGGAGGAAUACCAGUGGCGAAGGCGACUUUCUGGCAAUAAACAGACGCUGAGGUACGAAAGCGUGGGUAGCAAACAGG